rnacentral:rRNA from 1 species
GACGAACGCUGGCGGCGUGCUUAACACAUGCAAGUCGAACGGAAAGGCCCUGCUUUUGUGGGGUGCUCGAGUGGCGAACGGGUGAGUAACACGUGAGUAACCUGCCCUUGACUUUGGGAUAACUUCAGGAAACUGGGGCUAAUAUAGGAUAGGAGCUCCUGCUGCAUGGUGGGGGUUGGAAAGAUUCGGCGGUUGGGGACGGACUCGCGGCCCAUCAGCUUGUUGGUGGGGUAGUGGCUUACCAAGGCUUUGACGGGUAGCCGGCCUGAGAGGGUGACCGGCCACAUUGGGACUGGGAUACGGCCCGGAGUCCAUCGGGAGGCAGCAGUGGGAAAUAGUGCACGAUGGGCGGAAGCCGGAAGCAGCAUCGCCGCGUGCGGGAUGACGGCCUUCGGGUUGUAAACCGCGUGCGCCUGUAACGAAGCGUGAGUGACGGUAAUGGGUAAAGAAGCACCGGCUAACUACGUG